GCUAAGAAUAUUCCGCAAUGGACGAAAGUCUGACGGAGCGACGCCGCGUGGAUGAGGAAGGCCGAAAGGUUGUAAAGUCCUUUUGUCGAUGAAGAAUAAGUGGUGGAGGGAAUGCCAUCAUGAUGACGUUAGUCGGCGAAUAAGCCCCGGCUAAUUACGUGCCAGCAGCCGCGGUAACACGUAAGGGGCAAGCGUUGUUCGGAAUGAUUGGGCGUAAAGGGUACGUAGGCGGUUAUGUAAGCCCGGCGUGAGAUCCUGCAACUUAACUGUAGAGCUGCGCUGGGAACUGCGUAACUUGAGUCAUGGAAGGGAAGUUAGAAUUCCAGGUGUAGGGGUGAAAUCUGUAGAUAUCUGGAAGAAUACCGGUGGCGAAGGCGAACUUCUGGCCAAUGACUGACGCUGAGGUACGAAAGUGCGGGGAGCAAACAGGAUUAGAAACCCUGGUAGUCC
rnacentral:rRNA from 1 species